CCUACGGGUGGCAGCAGUGAGGAAUAUUGGUUAAUGGACGAGAGUCUGAACCAGCCAAGUAGCGUGAAGGAUGACUGCCCUAUGGGUUGUAAACCUCUUUUAUAUGGGAAUAAAUUGUUCCACGUGUGGGAUUUUGUAUGUACCAUAUGAAUAAGGAUCGGCUAACUCCGUGCCAGCAGCCGCGGUAAUACGGAGGAUCCGAGCGUUAUCCGGAUUUAUUGGGUUUAAAGGGUGUGUAGGUGGGUUGUUAAGUCAGUUGUGAAAGUUUGCGGCUCAACCGUAAAAUUGCAGUUGAAACUGGCAGUCUUGAGUACGGGAGAGGUAGGCGGAAUUCGUGGUGUAGCGGUGAAAUGCUUAGAGAUCACGAAGAACUCCGAUUGCGGAGGCAGCCCACUGGACUGCAACUGACACUGAGGCUCGAAAGUGUGGGUAUCAAACAGGAUUAGAUACCCGAGUAGUC
rnacentral:rRNA from 1 species